GACGAACGCUGGCGGCGUGCCUAAUACAUGCAAGUCGAGCGCAGGAAACUGACGGAACUCUUCGGAGGGAAGGCAGUGGAAUGAGCGGCGGACGGGUAAGUAACACGUAAGGAACCUGCCUCAAGGAUUGGGAUAACUCCGAGAAAUCGGAGCUAAUACCGGAUAGUUCAACGGGCCGCAUGGUCCGCUGAUGAAAGGCGCUCCGGCGUCACCUUGAGAUGGCCUUGCGGUGCAUUAGCUAGUUGGUGGGGUAACGGCCCACCAAGGCGACGAUGCAUAGCCGACCUGAGAGGGUGAUCGGCCACACUGGGACUGAGACACGGCCCAGACUCCUACGGGAGGCAGCAGUAGGGAAUCUUCCACAAUGGACGAAAGUCUGAUGGAGCAACGCCGCGUGAGUGAUGAAGGUUUUCGGAUCGUAAAACUCUGUUGUAAGGGAAGAACACGUACGAGAGGGAAUGCUCGUACCUUGACGGUACCUUACGAGAAAGCCACGGCUAACUACGUGCCAGCCGCCGCUGUAAAAC
rnacentral:rRNA from 1 species